rnacentral:tRNA from 1 species
GCCUGGGUGGCUCAGUCGGUUAAGCAUCUGACUUCGGCUCAGGUCAUGAUCUCACGCUCUGUGAGUUCGAGCCCCGCAUCAAGCA